ACUUCAGUCUCACAGUUUCACGCUUCCUCUUCAGACUUCCCUGACUUCUUCGGUCUUCUCAGUUCUCACCACUCUCUCAAUCCCUCAUGCCUCUGCUCUCUUCUAUUCAAUCUUUGGCUUUUCGCCUCAGUUCUCAUCUCUCUCUUUUUAUAAAUCAACAAGCAACAGGAAGUGCAGCAGCAAGUCCUAGCUCAGGCAAACGUCCCUUAAUUUGUAUUGAUUGACUUGGAGGAAGGUCAUUCAUUUUGGAAAGGAGGCAGCCUUUUGGAAACAUUUUAGAUAUUGCUUGUCUAACUAUACUCAACUCUUAAUGCAUAUA